UAGGGAAUCUUCGGCAAUGGACGAAAGUCUGACCGAGCAACGCCGCGUGAGUGAAGAAGGUUUUCGGAUCGUAAAACUCUGUUGUUAGAGAAGAACAAGGACGUUAGUAACUGAACGUCCCCUGACGGUAUCUAACCAGAAAGCCACGGCUAACUACGUGCCAGCAGCCGCGGUAAUACGUAGGUGGCAAGCGUUGUCCGGAUUUAUUGGGCGUAAAGCGAGCGCAGGCGGUUUCUUAAGUCUGAUGUGAAAGCCCCCGGCUCAACCGGGGAGGGUCGUUGGAAACUGGGGGGCUUGAGUUCAGAAGAGGGGAGUGGAAUUCCAUGUGUAGCGGUGAAAUGCGUAGAUAUAUGGAGGAACACCAGUGGCGAAGGCGGCUCUCUGGUCUGUAACUGACGCUGAGGCUCGAAAGCGUGGGGAGCAAACAGG
rnacentral:rRNA from 1 species